CCGGUAGGGGAUGGGCAUGCGGCGCAUUAGGCAGUUGGCGGCGUAACGGACCACCAANCCGACGAUGCGUAGGGGUUCUGAGAGGAAGGUCCCCCACACUGGUACUGAGACACGGACCAGACUCCUACGGGAGGCAGCAGUGAGGAAUAUUGGUCAAUAGGCGAGAGCCUGAACCAGCCAAGUCGCGUGAGGGAAGAAUGUACUAAGUAUUGUAUACCUCUUUUGUCAGGGAACAAAAGUAGCCUUGCGAGGUUAUAUGAGUGUACCUGAAGAAAAAGCAUCGGCUAACUCCGUGCCAGCAGCCGCGGUAAUACGGAGGAUGCGAGCGUUAUCCGGAUUUAUUGGGUUUAAAGGGUGCGCAGGCGGAGAGUCAAGUCAGCGGUAAAAUGU
rnacentral:rRNA from 1 species